UAGGCCUUUAACCUAAAAGGACUAAUCAUUAGAUGAAGGCCACACGGAAGAGGUUGAGGGGAAGGUCAUCCUGAACAAGGUAGCUUUCUCUUACAGAGUGUAACUGAAUGCAAGUUGGACCACUCACUGCUCCAAAGCCAGUAUAUCAAGGGGCAAGCUUCAGUAGGGAAGAAAGGUACUUUAUUCAGAAAAGCUGGAAAUCUGGAGAGAUGGUGGACUUCUGUCCAGAGACCAAAUCCCAAGAUUCUGCUCAACCAUGACAAGUUGUAAAGGCCAAAAGGGGAAACAAUCUCAGUUAAUCAUUAAGGCAGGAGAUAACUCCAACUUUACUUAUAUGAUCUCCAUUUAUCAUCUGUGCUGUUUGACCUGUGACAACAACAUCCACCGGGUGACAGCCUGUAUUCUUAAGGAGUUUGGAUAGUAUCAAGUUUCCUUAUUCCUGAAGACCUAUGGUGGAGAGAGGGAGCAUUCCCUGGAAUACUGCUACCCUGCUUCUAAGAUGGUAUCUAUUACCCAUGAGCGACGUCUUCAUCAUAGCUUCACUGGGUUAUUAUAUAGCAGGAUUAAAUCUGUGGCCACAAGUUUUCUGAAGACACCAAUAAUCUCAUUAAAGACUAUGAGGACGCCCAAUGAUUUGCAGCUGUGGAUGAAUCUCUGCGUGAGGAAACUCAGUAGACCAAGCAUUAUGAUUCCUCAGACAACUUCUGGGAAGGUAAUAAUUUAAGAAUUUUUAUACCAUCCUUAUGGAAAAUUAUACAUAAGGAAAAAAAUUUCUUCUAAAAUAAUUUUUAAAACUCAGUUUCUAACAGUUCGGGAGUUCCUCAAAAAGCUAAAAACAGAAUUGUCAUAUGACUUAACAGUUCAACUCCUCAGCAUAUAUCCAAAAAGAUUGAAAACAGAGGAACAGACACUAGUACACACAGUACAUCAUAUAAUUCACAAUAACCAAAAGGUGAAAACAAUCCAAAUAUCCAUCAACAAAUGAGUGUAUAAACAAAGUGUGGCAUAUACUACAAUGAAUGAAAAACUAUUCAUCCUGAAAAAAAAUGAGGUUCUGAUACAUGCUACGACAUGACAAACCUUGAAAACAUUAUGCUAAUGAAAUAAGCCAGACACACAAAAGGAUAAAUAGCAUAAGAUUCCACUUAGAUGAAAUAUAAAGAAUAGGCAAAUUGAUAGAAACAGAAAGUAGAUUUGAAUUUUUCAAGAGUUGAAGAAGAGGAAAAUGGGGAGUUAUAACAGUGCUUACAGUUUCUAUUUGAACUCAUCGAAAAGUUUGGAAAGAGCGAUGAUGCUUGUGAAUGUAAUUAAUGGCAC
rnacentral:lncRNA from 9 species